rnacentral:rRNA from 1 species
GAUCGAUCCAUGGGGGCCACCCUGAUCCAGCCAUGCCGCGUGUGUGAAGAAGGCCCUCGGGUUGUAAAGCACUUUCAGCGAGGAAGAAUGCUUGUCGGUUAAUACCCGGCAAGGGAGACAUCACUCGCAGAAGAAGCACCGGCUAACUCCGUGCCAGCAGCCGCGGUAAUACGGAGGGUGCGAGCGUUAAUCGGAAUUACUGGGCGUAAAGCGUGCGUAGGCGGCUUGAUAAGCCGGUUGUGAAAGCCCCGGGCUCAACCUGGGAACGGCAUCCGGAACUGUUAGGCUAGAGUGCAGGAGAGGAAGGUAGAAUUCCCGGUGUAGCGGUGAAAUGCGUAGAGAUCGGGAGGAAUACCAGUGGCGAAGGCGGCCUUCUGGACUGACACUGACGCUGAGGUACGAAAGCGUGGGUAGCAAACAGGAUUAGAUACCCUGGUAGUCCACGCCGUAAACGAUGUCGACUAGCCGUUGGGGUCCUCGAGACCUUUGUGGCGCAGUUAACGCACUAAGUCGACCGCCUGGGGAGUACGGCCGCAAGGUUAAAACUCAAAUGAAUUGACGGGGGCCCGCACAAGCGGUGGAGCAUGUGGUUUAAUUCGAUGCAACGCGAAGAACCUUACCUACCCUUGACAUCGUGCGAACUUUCCAGAGAUGGAUUGGUGCCUUCGGGAGCGCACAGACAGGUGCUGCAUGGCUGUCGUCAGCUCGUGUUGUGAAAUGUUGGGUUAAGUCCCGUAACGAGCGCAACCCCUUGUCCCUAUUUGCCAGCGAUUCGGUCGGGAACUCUAGGGAGACUGCCGGUGACAAACCGGGAGGAAGGUGGGGACGACGUUCAGUCAUCAUGGGCCCUUUACGGGUAGGGCUACACACGUGCUACAAUGGCCGGGUACAAUGGGUUGC